UACGUAGGCAGCAAGCGUUGUUCGGAAUUACUGGGCGUAAAGCGAGUGUAGGCGGUUCACCAAGUCUGUUGUGAAAUCUCCCGGCUCAACUGGGAGGGUGCGGCGGAAACUGGUGGACUAGAGUGCGAGAUGGGAGAGCGGAAUUCCUGGUGUAGCGGUGAAAUGCGUAGAUAUCAGGAGGAACACCGGUGGUGAAGACGGCUCUCUGGAUCGCGACUGACGC
rnacentral:rRNA from 1 species